GUCACCUAUGCACCAAGUACGUGGUGUUGCUAAGCGACAAACCAGGAAGCCCGGAGCACAUUUCCCACUGACUGAGCUCUCGCAGUAGAAGAGGAAGGUUCUGCCUGUCCUGCUCUUCUGAUCUGCUGAUCAGGUGUGGAGUAGCACCAGCUUCAAGGUGGAACCAGGCAGGGGAGCUUGGUUUUCUUCCACUGACACCACCAUCGAUUUCUUCCCUUCUUUGGCCCAUUGUGCAGCUGAGAGAGGCCCAAGAAACUCAUUAAGAGCUUCCCACUGCCUUCAGGAUACCAUGUAACCUCCCUUCAGGGCUGGGUCUCAUCCACCUCUUCAUCUUGCCCUCAGCCAGGCCCCAUAAUGUUCUCUGUGCUGCAGCCAUGCCACACUCCUUGUGGUUCCUCAGACAUGCCACACUCUUCAGCCUUUUCUCCAAUCUCUUUUACAUGCUCUUCCUUUGCCCGAAAAUAAUUUCCCUCCUACUCUUGGCCUGCUGAAGCCUCGUCAAGCUUCAGGCCUCAGCGUGCAUGUCAUUUCCUCAGGAAGGUCUUUGCUGGCCGCUACGAUGAGGUAGCUCCUAGAUGACCCAGCACUUCCCUUAUCUGAGUCCUCAUUAAACCUCAUGGUGACCUUUCUUCUCCAAGCUGCAGGGGAGGGCACAGACCACAUCUGACUGGCUCAUCCUUGUAUUUCCAGGGCCGGCCUAUAAUUUGGUGGAUUCAGGUCCAGCUUCCUGGGUGGGGGACCUGUGGAGUUACACAGGGACUCAUGCUUAGACAGGUGGCUUUAAUGCUUGGCUUAAUGCUGCUGUCAUCUAGAAAGUUCUUUUUUCGUUUUCUUUUUUUUUUUUUUUUUGAGACAGGGUCUAGCUCUGUCGCCCAGUCUGGAGUGCAGUGGCACCAUCUCGGCUCACUGCAACAUCUGCCUCCCGGGUUCAAAUGAUUCUCUUGCCUCAGUCUCUCGAGUAGCUGGGAUUACAGGUGCCCACCACCAGGCCUGGCUAAUUUUUUGUAUUUUUAGUAGAGACGGGGUUUCACUAUGUUGGCCAGGCUGGUCUUAAACUCCUGACCUCAAGUGAUCUGCCCACCUUGGCCUCCCAAAGUGCUCAGAUUACUCGAGUGAGCCACUGUGCCUGGCUGCUAUCUAGAAAAGUCUUAAUUUUUGAACAAGAGGCCCCAUAUUUUCAUUGUGCACUGAGCCUCACAUAUUAUGAAACUGAUACUACAUGGAUGAAUAAAUAAAUCAAUGGAUAUGUAUUAAUCCUUACAAUAUAUUGAGCCAAGGAAAUUAAAGCUUCUGAAGGUCUCAUUUUGAACAAGAUAGAAUAAUUUAGCAAAAGUUGCAAUGUAUUAUGCAGAUGCCUUUAUGAUCUAUUUUGCUAUUUUUCACAUACUAUUUGUUCAUAUGAGAAAAGAGAAGCUUUACCUGAAAGAUAUGUAUUGUCUGUUCUGUGAGAUGUAUAUCCAUUAAAAAUUAUAUUUUAUUCAACUACAACCAUUAUGAAUUUAAAAAAGAGAAAAAAGAAGUCCAGAAUGACUUGCUUUGUCUUAUUCAUUAUAACUGGAAAGAAAGGUACAACUUCUUAAGAAAGAAAAAGAAGCAGGAAAAAUUUUGCAAAUAAUGUUACC
rnacentral:lncRNA from 1 species